rnacentral:rRNA from 1 species
CCAGACUCCUACGGGAGGCAGCAGUGAGGAAUAUUGGUCAAUGGUCGGGAGACUGAACCAGCCAAGCCGCGUGAGGGAGGAAGGUACAGAGUAUCGUAAACCUCUUUUGUCAGGGAGCAAAAGACGCCACGCGUGGCGUUCCGAGAGUACCCGAAGAAAAAGCAUCGGCUAACUCCGUGCCAGCAGCCGCGGUAAUACGGAGGAUGCGAGCGUUAUCCGGAUUUAUUGGGUUUAAAGGGUGCGCAGGCGGAGGUGCAAGUCAGCGGUCAAAUUGCGGGGCUCAACCCCGUACUGCCGUUGAAACUGCAUCCCUUGAGUGCGCGAGAAGUAUGCGGAAUGCGUGGUGUAGCGGUGAAAUGCAUAGAUAUCACGCAGAACUCCGAUUGCGAAGGCAGCAUACCGGCGCCCGACUGACGCUGAGGCACGAAAGCGUGGGUAUCGAACAGGAUUAGAUACCCUUGUAUGA